rnacentral:rRNA from 11 species
GGAUCUGUUGGGACGUCUUCAUCGGCUUUCCCUAUACAAUGAACAAUCGACUCAGAACUGAAGCGGACAAGGGGAAUCCGACAGUUUAAUAAAAACCAAGCAUUGUGAUGACGGGAAACCGUGUUGACACAAUGUGAUUUCUGCCCAGUGCUCUGAAUGUCAAAGUGAAGAAAUUCAACCAAGC